GACUUAAAAUCCGUUGACUUUUAAAAUCGUGAGG
rnacentral:tRNA from 1 species